AUACGUAGGUGGCGAGCGUUAUCCGGAUUUACUGGGUGUAAAGGGCGCGUAGGCGGGAAUGCAAGUCAGGUGUGAAAUCUAGGGGCUCAACCCCUAAACUGCACUUGAAACUGCGUUUCUUGAGUGUCGGAGAGGUUGACGGAAUUCCUAGUGUAGCGGUGAAAUGCGUAGAUAUUAGGAGGAACACCAGUGGCGAAGGCGGUCAACUGGACGAUAACUGACGCUGAGGCGCGAAAGCGUGGGGAGCAAACAGGAUUAGAUCCCCUGGUAGUCCACGCCGUAAACGAUGAAUACUAGGUGUGGGGGGACUGACCCCCUCCGUGCCGCAGUUAACACAAUAAGUAUUCCACCUGGGGAGUACGGCCGCAAGGUUGAAACUCAAAUGAAUUGACGGGG
rnacentral:rRNA from 1 species